GGUUUCGUAUUAACGUUACAUGUCAGUGUUGCAUUCAUUAGGAUCUCAUCUGAACAGAUUUGUGUCAGUCAAACAACUCUGAAUUGUAGUUUAAAACUUACACAGCCAAUUUAUGGA